GACGAACGCUGGCGGCGUGCUUAACACAUGCAAGUCGAACGGAAAGGCCCUGCCUUUGUGGGGUGCUCGAGUGGCGAACGGGUGAGUAACACGUGAGUAACCUGCCCUUGACUUUGGGAUAACUUCAGGAAACUGGGGCUAAUACCGGAUAGGAGCUCCUGCUGCAUGGUGGGGGUUGGAAAGUUUCGGCGGUUGGGGAUGGACUCGCGGCUUAUCAGCUUGUUGGUGGGGUAGUGGCUUACCAAGGCUUUGACGGGUAGCCGGCCUGAGAGGGUGACCGGCCACAUUGGGACUGAGAUACGGCCCAGACUCCUGCGGGAGGCAGCAGUGGGGAAUAUUGCACAAUGGGCGGAAGCCUGAUGCAGCAACGCCGCGUGCGGGAUGACGGCCUUCGGGUUGUAAACCGCUUUCGCCUGUGACGAAGCGUGAGUGACGGUAAUGGGUAAAGAAGCACCGGCUAACUACGUG
rnacentral:rRNA from 1 species